GGAAAUGGGAAAAGGAACCUUCGUAGCUUCGACGAUUCGUGCUUCAUCGGACGAUCCUCCUUCGUUGCUGGCGCUCCACUCGUCUCGACCCUCUGAUCAUCUCCAUCCUCUAUGUAAGUGGCCCUUGAACCCUCAAGCUCUACUUUCUUUGUUCUCUCACUUCGCACAAGCCCUAACUCGAGAGGGUUCUUUGCUUCUCCCAAUUGAAGUGUUCGUGCAGAAAGACUCGUCCAAAAGCAGCAACAACUCAACUCAGCUUACCCAAACGCACCGUUUUACUAAAGGGCAAUCAACCCAGCUUUAUUCGGUGGCCCAAUAUUUAUUCCAGC
rnacentral:lncRNA from 1 species